ensembl:lncRNA novel transcript
GCAAUGUCAUUCCUGUUCUCCCCAGAAUUGGUGAAAUCAGCAACAGAACUAUUCAUUUCAUUGAGCCUGGAAAAUCCAGUUUGUAUGACCAGGGAGAAGAAUGGAUUAGAGCAGCCACUAGUCAGUCUCUUCCAAGCA